rnacentral:rRNA from 1 species
AUGGCCGAUGGCAGCCUGGACGCGGAGGUGGUGAUCGUCGGCGGCGGCAUCGCGGGCCUUGCAACGGCGGUGGCGCUCCAGCGGGCGGGCGUGGCGCCCGGUGGCCGCGGCAUCUUGGUGCUAGAGCGGCACCCCGAACUGCGCGCCACCGGGACGGCCAUGACCGUCUUCCCCAACGGCUGGUUCGCGCUCCGCGCGCUUGGCGUCGCACACAAGCUCACGUCCCGCUACGACGUCAUCGAAAAAUCCCGGGUGACCAAUCUUGAGACCGGGACGACGCAGGUGUUUCGAUUUGCCGGGAACAAAGUCAGUGAUGAAGUGAGAAUGAGAGCCGUGGACCGAAAGGCGCUGCUGGAUGCGCUAGCAGACGAGCUGCCCCCGGGCAUGGUCCGCUUCUCCUCCAAGCUCGUCUCCAUCGACGCCAUACCCGCAACUAGCGGCUCGUCGGAGGCCACCGUCCUAAGAUUAGAAGACGGCGCCGUGAUCCGAGCCAAAAUUCUGAUCGGUUGCGACGGCGUGCACUCGGUGGUGGCGCGGUGGCUCGGCCUGUCGGAGCCACUGAGGUCGGGCCGGUCCACCAUCCGCGGCCUCUCCGUGUACCCUAGCGGGCACGGUUUGAAGCAAGAGAUCCGGCAGUACCUGUCGAACGGUAUCCGAGCCGGCUUGCUGCCCAUCAGCAAUACCGGUAUCUACUGGUACCUUGUCAACAACACCAUUCCCCAAGAGAAAGUAGCCAGUGCGGACCCUGUGAAGAUCUUGCGGGAGGUGACUGAAAACCUGGGCGCGCACCUGCCCGCCGAGUACCUGGACGUGGUCCGUAACACCGACCUGCGCAACCUCUCGUGGGCGCCAUUGUUGUACAGAAACCCCUGGGGCGUGCUCACGGGCAAGGCAGCCCGUGGAACGGUAACCGUAGCCGGCGACGCGUUCCACCCCAUGACACCGGAGAUGGCGCAGGGCGGGUGCUCCGCGCUCGAGGACGCGGUGGUGCUCGCCCGCGCCUUGUCGCAGGCCGCCACGCCCUCCGAGGGCCUGGCCGCAUACGUGGCGAAGCGGCGUGGCCGGGCGACAUGGCUGGUCGCCGUGGCCUACGUAUCGGGCUGGGUCCAGCAGGGCGGGACCAACGUCCAUGCUGCCGUUGGGUGGGUGGUCAGGUUGUUUCGGGACUGGAUCUUUUUCCGGUUCGUCUUCCCUAGGCUCGCCGACACCAUGUGGUACAAUUGCGGUGACCUUGUGCCGUGCAAGAACCACACCGAGUGA